GUUCUGCAGCCGAACCCAAAAUUCUCCGCAGUUUGAAUAAACCUACGUGACUGAUAAAGAUGCUUGCAAAUGGAUACGUGCCAGGGCAGGUCUUUGGCCAGACACCAAGCUAUCCUUUCUCAAAAUUUGUCAAUCAAUCUCAGUUGGGAGCAAAUGCUCUAAAUCAGUACCCAACAAAUGACCUGAAUAGCCUGAGUGACUGGCGCAAAGAUCCCAGAAUCAGUUUCUUUCGUGAUUUAGUUAGAGAGAAAAUUGCUGAAAGUUGUAAAUUGGAAUUGCAAGAGCGAGGAUCUAAUAUUGUAAAUGUCUUAGAAAACAAACUAUUUAUGGAAGCUGUUUCAGAGGAGGAGUAUAUGAAUCUGGAUGUACUGAGAGAGCGGUUGCAAAUUUUUUAUCAAAAGGACAUGGUUGACCUAAACUGUAGUCAACAAGUGUCCAGCUACAGUGGUCCCACCUGUGAAGUGUUGCCAGCCCUGGGUUUGACUCAUAGUUGCAAUUCAGAUGCAGCAUACCCUCCUUUUAAUCACUUCAACAAUGAUAUUACUGACUAUAACCCAAUGAUGGCUGGAAACAAUGAUCAAUUUAGCUUCCUAAAAGGAUUUCUUGAUAGUGGAAACAAGCUAGGACUUGCAAGUUUGUACUGUGAUUCACACAUGAGGAAGAUUUCUAAUGAGUUGCUUCCUUCACAUGAUAGAAGUUCUGUCAUUACAUCAUUUUCGGAUAGGGGUUCCACCAUUACAAGAAAUUCCAACAGUGAUAAAGUUUCAGAAAUUGGAGCUUUUGAAGGUGUUGCAGAUGACCUGAGCCUUCCUGCAAUGGCAUUUUCAUCUACACUCAGAGAAAGCUCAGAGUUCCCCAAUUCAAUUUUGCAGAUGUCAGAACUUGUUCCCCAAUUGAUUUCUGAAGACACUAUUUUUCCUAGCAUGGAUUUUUCCAUAAUGAAUUCAACUCUUGGUGAUGUACUGCAACCUAAAUCACAUAUUCAAGAGCAGAAGCAGCAGAGGCCUUAUUCAUCAUAUGAGCAAUUCAGUAACCCAUUGGAGAUGGCUGGAGAAAUAGUUCCUAUUCAUUCUCAUUUCCCCUCAGAACAGAUACAUGGAGUUCAUAUUGCUUCAGAAAGUUCUUCACUUCUUUCCAGUUCAAACGGAAUUGCUGGACCAGCAAAUCCUAGCAACCAUUUGCAUUUUUCUGUUGAACACAAGAGUUUACAUGCUUAUAGUAGCUGCAAGAGUCCUGCAAUUCCAGCAGAUCAAUUUAAUACCAGUAAACGUCACCAAAGUUUUCAAAAUAUGUACAAUGGCCUUAUGAUGGAUUCAAGCACUACUGGAACCGGUGGGUCUGGCUCUUGUGCUUCAGAAAACAUGCUGCCACCUACAAAACGUUUCAAGCCCAGCUCUGACUGUUCAGAAAACUUGCUGACUCCUUCAAAGGAUCUGAAGAUUGAAAAGUCCAGUUGUCUGUUGUCAUAUGAAAACAGAAUUGCUUCUAUAUUGGCUCCAUUGAUGGUACAACCCCCUUUUCCUAAAGGACUUCCACCCUUGCUGCAAUUGCCAGAAUCUCCUGUAUCUAUUAAUUCUGAGGUUUUGGAUGGAAACAUUGAAUUUUCAAAGCCCAUGCAAAAUCCUUCAAGUGUAGAUCAGGUUAGGAACAGUGCUGGGUAUAAUCUUUUGAGAAUGAAUGCUGAAAACUUGCAUACUCCUUCUGAAGAACAAAUUGUUGAUGGUCCUAGGACACAGGAGAUAGACUGUAGUAGUUUUGGUGAGAUUGCAGAUGCUGUAAAAGAUAAGCCUAAUGAGGUAUAUUUUAAUACAUCACCUGCACUUUCUGAAGAGCUGGGUGCCACUUCUAGAGAGGAGGUGAUACAAGUCAUGUCUAAUUCUGACCAUGCCAAGCCUGAUUUAGAAACAAAAAAGGAAGAAGAAAUGGAGCCAGAGAAUCUAAAAACACGAGGUGUGUCUUUGAUUGAAUUUUUCUCAGCUGAUGAAAUAAAGGACCAUAUUUCAAGUCUUCAGCAGUGGAUUGGUCAGGUAAGUACAUCAUUAUUACUGCUUUGAUUCCUGAAGUCAAAUGUUAUUAAAGCCUUUACUACGAAUGAAGCCUUGCAAUCAUAAUUCUAUAUUUUCGUUUUAUCCAUUUUUGUUGCAACUCAUUUGAUCAUACUUCUGUAUUUUGCAAACAUUGGCUGUAAUAAGUUUUAUAAAUUACAUCAAUCGCACAGGAAACAGACCAUGCAAGUUCUGGUCCAAUGUCUUUAGUUGUUAGAUUGUGAUCGCUUAAGAUGGUGGAUCUGAAGUUUAAGUAGUUGCAUGCAGCCUUAUUAAAGGAAAGAAAAGGCGUCAGGCAAGGCAAGAGGCAACAUUUGCACUGCUACACCAAUUUAAAAUUUUAAUUUCAAGCCUAUAUCCAGUUCAUGAAUUUGUGUUCAUAUUUUCAAUGCUCAGUACAUGUGUAGUUUUCUCAUGAUCUUACUGGAGUUCAUCCUUUCUCUUCAUUCUUUCAUAAUCUUUUGAAUGAACAUUAAUAUCCUUUUACAUCUUUUCUUAGAGAAUGUCAAAGGGAGGAAAGGAAAAGCAAGUAAUGCACUAUGCCAAUGAGAAUACAUGCCAGUUGUGUGCAGCAGAUAAGCUGUUACUAGCCCCAGUUCCAAUAUAUUGCUCUUGUUGUGGUUCUCGAAUCAAGUGCAAUGUGAAUUAUUACAGUACCUCAGAGGAAAAUGGUAUGCGGCAUUGUUUUUGUACCUCAUGUUAUAGGGAUUCUCGAGGUGGGAGUAUCACAUUCUUUGGAAUUAGUAUUCUGAAGGCAAAGCUGGUUAAGAAGAAGAAUGAUGAUGAAAUUGAAGAAUCAUGGGUCCAGUGUGACAAAUGUAAACAUUGGCAACACCAGAUAUGUGCUCUCUUUAAUGACAUAAGAGAUAUGGAAGGGAAAUCUGAGUACGUGUGUCCCAAAUGCUGCUUAGAAGAGAUUGAACAGGGGGAACAUUUGCCUUUACCAAGGGCUGCUGUUUUUAGUGCAAAAGAUUUGCCUACUACAUUGCUUAGUGACUACAUAGAGCAAAGACUCUUUAGGCGUCUUCAGCAGGAGAAAGAAGAGAGCGCAAAGGCUCUUGGAAGGAGCCUUGAUGAGGUUCCUGGAGCAGAUGAUCUUGUUGUAAGAGUGGUGUUGUCUGUUGACAAACAGUUGAAAGUGAAGCAGCAGUUUCUAGAAAUUUUUCAUGAUGGGAAUUACCCUGAUGAAUUUCCAUACAGAUCAAAGGUGAUUCUUUUGUUUCAGAAGAUUGAAGGAGUAGAUGUAUGCCUUUUUGGCAUGUACGUACAAGAGUUUGGUUCAGAGUGCAGUCAGCCAAAUCACCGUUGUGUUUAUAUCUCAUAUCUUGAUUCUGUUAAAUACUUUAGGCCUGAUACAAAGACUGCAGCUGGAGAAGCUCUUCGUACAGUUGUUUACCAUGAAAUAUUGAUAGGAUAUCUUGAAUACUGUAAGAAACGAGGUUUUAUCGCUUGCUAUUUAUGGGCCUGCCCUCCUUUAAAGGAAGAAGAUUAUAUCUUAUAUUGCCAUCCAGAAAUUCAGAAGACUCCAAAGUCUGACAAGUUGCGGCAAUGGUCUGUACCCCUCCCUCUCUGAUAAGCUUUGUGCAUAUUGUGUGUAUGUGUGAGUGUAAACUCUGGUUGAGUUCUGCUCAACAUUCUUAUGGGAGCAUAAUCGUGCCCUCAUCUUGAGCCACUCUUCUGCAUUUCUUUUUGCCCUCAUCAUGGCUAUUACUAUUCCCUCUUUGUUUUGUUUUCUUGCCUUUCUCUGCUAGUAAGCACAUUUAUUGACUAGUAACUGAUAUGCAGGUAUCAUUCAAUGCUAAGAAAAGCAGUCAAAGAAAAUAUUGUGGUUGAUUUCACUAAUUUAUAUGAUCACUUCUUUGUUCCUACUGGGCAUUUUUAUUGCAAAGUAACAGCAUCUCGUUUGCCAUAUUUUGAUGGUGAUUAUUGGUCUGGUGCUGCUGAGAAUGUCAUCAAGAAUAUUGAGCAACAAAAUGGAGAACAUUCAGGGAGGAAGGUGAAGAAAGUAAUGACAAAGAGAACUUUAAAAGCCUUGGGGCAUACAAAUCCUUCUGGUGGUGUUACUAAAGAUAUUAUACUGAUGCAAAAAGUAAUCUCACCUCUCUCUCUCUCUGAGUAAUGUGUAUGUCUCCAUGUAUAUUAGUUUUCUUUUCUAUUUUUUGUGCAAUUUCUUUUUUUGGUUAAAUAUGCAGUUAAUUUUGUUAGAUAUAUGUCUUUGCAUAGUCAAGAUGAGUUUAUUUGCCUCAAAUCAGCUGGAGGUUCCUCUAAGAAGUCAAUUAAGAAUUCCAGCAAGAUCACUAAUUUACACUGUCUGGAGGAGGUAAAGUAGUAAGGUUUUUCAUGGUUGCUAAGCCUUCAUAAUUUUUCAGUAUUUGAGAGGAAAGUAUUUUAAGGUAUUUGAAGGUAAAGAGAAAACUUUCACCAAUUUAAAGCCUCCAAAAACAUUGCUUCAAAAAAUCACAUACCCUCCCAAACACAAGUUGAAGGUUUUUAAACUUUGAAAAACCUCCCAUUACUUCAAAGGGUUAAGAGUAAAAGAAUGACCAGUGCAACUUCCAAAUACAAACCAACUCAUAUUUCUUGCAUCGGACUAAUUUGGUGUUAGAUGCCUUGUAGGCAGCUUAUGUCUGUUUCAAAAUCAUCAAUAGAAACAAUUAGGUGUGGGAACCAUGCUUUCAAGGUAAAUCAUUUGAGAAGAAGCACAAUGAUGUGGAUUCAUAGAGUAUCUUUAAGAUAUAUAAAAGUAAAUUGAUAAGGUCAACAUUGGCUUCUGUUAAUGUUAUAGAAGAUAUAGGGUUGGAAAGGAAUGUACUUAUUAGCAUUUCCUCUAUUUCUUCUACCAGCGUCUUAAGCCAAGCCAUUUCAAAUGCUGGAGAUUUCUCUGUUUGCAUGCAAGUUUCUGAAAUGGAUAAAUAUAAUGAUGAGCAUAGUUGGAUAUAUGCAUUUGUCUCAGCACUAGAUCUUCCAUGAAACUGGAAGAAGUAUAGAUGAAUUCAGUAUAUUGAAUCUAAAGAAAGCCAUUUUUUUCAUUCUGUGUGAUUGGUUAUUCCAUGAGUCUCGGUUAUUCUAAUUUCCAUCUUUUCCUUUAUCAGCUAGGACAAACCAUCUUUCCUUUUAAGGAGGACUUCAUUAUUGUCCAUUUGCGAUUUGUUUGCUCAUACUGCCAUGAAGUGAUAUUUUAUGGAUGGCGUUGGUGUUGCAAUCAGUGCAAAAAUUUUCAGCUAUGUGAAAGAUGCCAUGAUGUGGAGCAAGGCCUUAAUGGUGGGGAAACACACGCUAUAGGUAGCAAAGAAAAGCAUUUACUUUCUAAGGUUAUGGUUGAUGAUAUUCCAUCUGAUACCAAGGAUGAAGAUGCUAUUUUGGAUAAUUGGUUAUUUGAAAAUAGGCAUAACUUCUUGGGUUUCUGUCACAAGAAUCAUUAUCAGUUUGACACACUUCGCCGAGCCAAGCAUUCCUCAAUGAUGAUCCUACAUCAUCUUCAUAAUCCAACAAUUCCCACUACUGGGGAAACCUGCAGCAUUUGCCAGCAGGAUACUGAUACCACAGAUAGGAAUGUUUGUGCCACCUGCUAUAAUGAGAAAUUUGGUUCUUUGCAUAUUCGCAGGUCAACUUAUCACUAUUAUGCAGCUAAUUGUGAAAAUGAGAGUAUAUCUGCACAGCGGAAAAUGCACAAGGUAUGAAGAAUCUACUUUGACGUUCACUUUUGAAGCAUUGUUUGAAUGAUAAAAUUUAGAAUACUCUUUGUUUCUUCUUAUAUGGCUGCAAGGUAAUUAGAUUAUUAUCAUUAAUAUUUAUGAAUUGAUAAUUUAAAAUAAAAUGCUAUCUGUGGCAUUUUACUCGAGGAAGGAUAAAUUAAUGUAGUGAUUGGAGCAUUUACAUUUACUUUUGUAACUUGGUGGCGUAGCUAAAGGAACUGCUAGAUGUUCUACAACAUGCCUCUCAAUGUGAAGCAACCAAUUGUGACCCCUGCUCUUACCCUAACUGCCUUCAAAUCAAAAGGUUAUUCUGUCAUGCAUCUAAGUGCCCCAUUCGGAUCUCCAGAGGUUGUGUGCCUUGUAAGAAGGUGUGGUUCAUACUGAAGCUGCAUGCAGGAAAUUGUGGACAAACAGAUUGCUGCAUACCACGCUGCAGGGAUUUGAAGGCCCGAAGCUAAGUACUUGCACUGCAAUCUGAAACCUCAUGGAAAGCGACAUUUGCAGAAUAUUGGGACAGGAAGCACCUGUGGAUGGGUGAGAAGAAUAGCCAAUAAAACUAACCAAGUGUACAGUUUGUCAAGGAAGAGAACCAGUUGUACAGUUAGCUGAGUUUUGAAGUAACGGAAGGCAAAGCCAAUUUUGAUACCCAACUUCACAAAAGUAAUUAGGCCUUUAUUAUUAUUAUUUUUUUUUUUUGUUGAGCUGAUAAUGAACUUUACUCAAAUCUCCUAAGUGGCCUUAGAGUACAAGGUUAGACAAACGCAGCUUAAAGAGCAGAAAGGUUCGGUGUACGUGAAAAUUCAACAGUUGACUAAAUUAUGAGAAAGUGGAACCUUUAUUUUAUUUGGAAGGUGGUUGGAUAUCUGGCAUUGUAAAACUGAUUUGUAUGAGUUGCCCAUUGAAAGAGCUGCAAGUAAUACAAUUGGUGACGGGUAGUGUGAGAUUAUGGUACUUUUGUUGGUUUAACCUUAUGCUCUUUUGCUUUUAAUAAAUUAUUUGUGUCAACUCUCUCUCUCUCUCUCUCU
rnacentral:misc_RNA from 1 species